GAUGAACGCUGGCGGCGUGCCUAAUACAUGCAAGUCGAGCGAACAGACGAGGAGCUUGCUCCUCUGACGUUAGCGGCGGACGGGUGAGUAACACGUGGAUAACCUACCUAUAAGACUGGGAUAACUUCGGGAAACCGGAGCUAAUACCGGAUAAUAUAUUGAACCGCAUGGUUCAAUAGUGAAAGACGGUUUUGCUGUCACUUAUAGAUGGAUCCGCGCCGCAUUAGCUAGUUGGUAAGGUAACGGCUUACCAAGGCAACGAUGCGUAGCCGACCUGAGAGGGUGUGCGGCCACCCUGGAACUGAGACACGGUCCAGACUCCUACGGUAGGCAGCAGUAGGGAAUCUGCUGCAAUGGGCGAAAGCCUGACGGAGCAGCGCCGCGUGAGUGAUGAAGGUCUUCGGAUCGGAAAACUCUGUUAUGAGGGAAGAACAAAUGUGUAAGUAACUAUGCACGUCUUGACGGUAACUAAUCAGACAGCCACGGCUAACUACGUG
rnacentral:rRNA from 1 species